UCCCGGUGGAUCCUGCCGGAGGCUACUGCUAUGGAUUCGACUAAAGCCAUGCGAGUUCAAGUGUCUUUCGGACGCCGGCAUACGGCUCAGUAACACGUAGGUAACCUACCCUUAGGACUGGCAUAACCCCGGGAAACUGGGGCUAAUAUCAGAUAGAUAAAAGAUACUGGAAUGUUCUUUUAUCCAAAGCUUUUGUGCCUAAGGAUGGGCUGCGUCCGAUUAGGUUGUUGGUGGGGUAAUGGCCCACCAAGCCUGCGAUCGGUACGGGCAGUGGGAGCUGUAGCCCGGAGUUGGGGACUGAGACAAGGCCCCAGGCCCUACGGGGCGCAGCAGGCGCGAAACCUCUGCAAUGCGGGAAACCGUGACAGGGGGAUCCCAAGUGCUCAUGCAUUGCAUGGGCUGUUCUUUGGUCUAAGUAACCAGAGGAGUAAGGGCUGGGCAAGACCGGUGCCGGCCGCCGCGGUAAUACCGGCAGCUCGAGUGGUAGCCGCGAUUAUUGGGCCUAAAGCGUUCGUAGCCGGAUAAGUAAGUCUUUGGUUAAAUCCUGCGACUUAACCGUGGGAAAUCUAGAGAUACUGCUUGUCUUGAGACCGGGAGAGGUUGGAGGUACUCCUAGGGUAGGGGUGAAAUCCUGUAAUCCUAGGGGGACCACCUGUGGCGAAGGCGUCCAACUGGAACGGGUCUGACGGUGAGGGACGAAACCUAGGGGAGCGAGCCGGAUUAGAUACCCGGGUAGUCCUAGGCGUAAAUGAUGCGAGUUAAGUGUGGGGGCAUCUACGAGAUGGCCCUGUGCUGUAGGGUAGCCGUUAAACUCGCCGCCUGGGGAGUACGGUCGCAAGGCUGAAACUUAAAGGAAUUGGCGGG
rnacentral:rRNA from 1 species